rnacentral:lncRNA from 1 species
AGCUGUUUGCUAUGAGUGCUUGAUAUGGGAGAGGGAUAGCUCAGGCUGGGUUUUUGCCUGUGGCUGCUGCUGUAGGCUAGACUGCAAGACAGGAGCUGUGGGGAGCGUAGGGGUUUUUGUCAGCUUUGCACAGACCCCUUUCUGCAGGAACUGGAGGCUGUGUGAUUGGAGAGCGAUGCCACUAAUGGGAGCCUACUUGUACUUUGUCCAAAGGAAAGAGACAGCUCAGUGCUCUGUCACUGCAGCGCAGCUGGAGCAGGCAGGGACGGGGAUGCCAAAGCGCAGCUCGCUCCUCCUUGCUGCCACUGUGCUCAGGCAACACACACCAGGAAGCCCUUGCUGGGACCUCCUGUCUGUGCGUCUGUAUGGCCGUGGGAUGACCUGAACCCUCCCUCCAGGUAAGGCUUUCCAGGAUCUAUCUUUAGCGAUCAUUUAUACUGUAUUUUACUCUCUCC